rnacentral:rRNA from 1 species
AAUAGAUACCCGGGUAGUCCACGCCGUAAACGAUGAGUGCUAAGUGUUGGAGGGUUUCCGCCCUUCAGUGCUGCAGCAAACGCAUUAAGCACUCCGCCUGGGGAGUACGACCGCAAGGUUGAAACUCAAAGGAAUUGACGGGGGCCCGCACAAGCGGUGGAGCAUGUGGUUUAAUUCGAAGCAACGCGAAGAACCUUACCAGGUCUUGACAUCCUUUGACCACUCUAGAGAUAGAGCUUCCCCUUCGGGGGCAAAGUGACAGGUGGUGCAUGGUUGUCGUCAGCUCGUGUCGUGAGAUGUUGGGUUAAGUCCCGCAACGAGCGCGACCCUUAUUGUUAGUUGCCAUCAUUUAGUUGGGCACCCUAGCGAGACUGCCGGUGACAAACCGGAGGAAGGUGGGGAUGACGUCAAAUCAUCAUGCCCCUUAUGACCUGGGCUACACACGUGCUACAAUGGGAAGUACAACGAGUUGCGAAGUCGCGAGGCUAAGCUAAUCUCUUAAAGCUUCUCUCAGUUCGGAUUGUAGGCUGCAAC